rnacentral:lncRNA from 1 species
UUAUUGUCAACAAACUAAUAGGUAAACUAAUGUGAUGUGAGAUUUUGGAGGAUACUAACAGUAACAAAAUAAAUGCAAUGUGAAACAACCUCUAUAUUUUAGCCCCAUAUAAAGAAAAAAAAUGCGGUGACAUACAACUAAGCUAAAUGUUAAGGGCUUCACAAGUAAAGCCGCAAACAACAGUGUCUAGAAUUAGAACUUAAGCGUUAGGGUGGUUUUUUUAAUAAUUUAGUAAUUAGUUAUUUUAGUUUAUUAACCUCGUUCUUUUUUAGAAUAUAAGAUCAAUAUGCUAUAAACGAUGGGCUUAUGAGAAGGCAUAAUUUGUAUUAUGGAACUAAUAUAGUUAAGUACAUGUUAUUUUGCCUCUCUUAAACCAUCAAGAACCAUGUGAACCGAGUUAGAAACUUAGAAUCGUACUGGUGUCAAAUCAAGAACUUUGUUAUCAAUUGGAGACCUGAAUAUUAAUCAGGAUUAUCCCUUGGCUUUGUGAUUGAGUGAUUAGACGUGGGAAGGUUUAACUUCUCAAGGCACUCUAAUUGCAACUUUUGACUUGAAAAAUUUGUAGUGGAUUACCGGAUUUGAUGUAUGGAUGGACUGAAAGGGGACCGAGGAAGUUAAUCACCCCCAAUUAAAGUUAAGUAUGACAAUUAGUGUGAUAAGAUAUCCCCACUAAAACAACCUGCACACAAAGGAAAAGAGCCAUCAUGAGAACCAUUUUGCUUAUCGAUCCCAAUUCUUAGUCUUAAUCUAAUUCAUUAGUGAUAAAACUUACAAGUUAAAACAUUUCUAACAAGAUCCUCAUCAAGUUUCUUUGCUCGUGCUUGCAAAGAUCAACCAUGCACUUAUGUUCUUAUUCGAGCGAUUAAAAUUGUAUUUGAUGUGUUCUACGACUUUUAGCAAACUUUAGGUAUGUCCGGUAAUCAUGUUUUCUUCUUUCAUUAAUUUCGUUUUAGAUUACAUGUUUAUUAGGUCUCUUUGAUCCCCUGUCGGCAAUAUCCAUUCAAAUCUCAUACUG